AGACGAGCAUACAAACAGACACGUGUGUGUUACUAUAGUCAGAAGAACUGUAUCUCCAGUUCCUUUGUUUGGUUUUUGCUGCUUCGUGAAUAAUGGCGGGACGACGUCUCGCGUUCAACUCGCCUUCAACUCCUCUCCGCGGUCACCAACUUUCGGCCAGUCCGCAGACAGACUGAAGAAACUGCUGAAUGCUCUCAGUGGAUCGUCUCGUCAACUCCAACAACAAACUGCCGAUAUCAACGAGCGGUUCGCUCCACUGGAGCGUUCGGGACUCUGCGGGUUUCUGUCCAUGGAGGAGAGGAACCGACUCAAAGAAGAGGAGACGGGCGCACGAUCCCACGAUAGCGGAAGCGCUGCACCGUCUUCACAACUCCGAGACGAAUUACAGGCGCCACGAACCGGAGCAAAGGACUAAUCUCGCCUCAUAAUGAGGCGGUGACCUCGUAUUUGCUCUGGGAAAAGUCCAGAUUUAGACGACGUCAUUGUGUCCGCCUGUGAGACGUAUUUUGAGACGGGACGCAGGAGCUUCAGGUUCAGCCGGAACACUCAUUGCGGAGUUCAGCGCGGAGUCGAGCGAGAAGAAAGAGGCUGCUGGAAUCGAGACAAAGUGUGCUGGCUGAUGACGAGGUGGAAAUCCGCCACCGUGGAGCUCGCGUCGGACGGAGGGGACGGCGUUGUUGGCGGGGUCUCGGGGUGGAUUGUACGGUCGCCACACGCACACGAGCCGCCUGCACAACAGACCUGCCUCGGAAAACACGGCGCCAGUGACGGUCUACAACCCCGAGGAGGCAAACGGACAGUUUACUGAGCUGUAGUUUUUAAACCGCCUUUACCCAAGUGCGGGCAGAUCCUCGCUUUGUAUGUAGUUGUUGUUUGUAUGUUGUUAAUAAAGCUCUUUCUUUGCAUAAA
ensembl:lncRNA